CCCAAAUGAUAAGUCAAAGCCGCGGCUCAUAAAAAUAAAUCGAAAAGUCAAAAAUAUAAAUCGAAAGGAAACGGAAGUAAGCAACUUAAUACAGAGGAAGUCAGGAAACGGAAGUUAACCAAGAAGCCAGCGAAUGGAUUCUUUGUUUUAAAGGGGGGUGAACACGCGCUGAGAUAUUUACGUAUGUCGAUAUUAAAAAGUUAAAGAUUUCGAAACUGACGAAUUAUUUCUCUCUUUAUAAACAUUGCUGACCUCGUCUUUUACAGUAACAAUUACAUUAUUAUAUUAUAUUAUGAUUCAACCGAAUAUCUUGCUCGCCGUCUGGAUGUUUACGAGAUAAAUAUUCUUGUACUAAUCUAUAGCCUGAUGAUCCUGGGUGAUACUUGUGAGAUACCACGAACAAGUAGAUCAAGAUCAUUGUCCCUUAUCGUAGAAUGUGAUUGAGUGAUUCCCUGUUCGUAUAUAGCGGAGACAAAGUAAAAUUAACGUCGACGUCGUCGUAUUGCACUCUCAGAUACUCAAAAUUUCAUGUAAUUUCUGCUCAGGAAAGUCCAACUUGGAGAAUUAAAGUUUAGAUGGCCUGUUGUCAGACGUCCAGUCUUUGUCUUCCCACACCAAAAUUCGCAUCUUUCGCAUGUUUCUCUUUGACGACGAACAAUCACUUGAAGGGUGCGCAUAUCUGACAAAAGUUGUUGCUCUAGAGAAUUUUAAGCAUUGAGAAAAAUAUUCGGUUGAAUCAUAGCGAAUGUUAUUGUUAAAAGACGAGCUUAGCAAUGUUUGUGGUUAACUUCCGUUUCCUGACUUCCUCUGUAUUAAGUUGCUUACUUCCGUUUCCUUUCGAUUUAUAUUUUUGACUUUUCGAUUUAUUUUUAUGAGCCGCGGCUUUGACUUAUCAUUUGGGAGUUUCGUAUUAUAAAUAAAAGUUUGGACUUGCGUUUAAUUUUCAUGUAUAUCCUUAGAGGUUUGAAAUGUAUUUUGCAGUUUUGAAGUAUAUGCUUUAAACUUUCGUUUUAUUUUUUUGAGUUUGAAC